rnacentral:rRNA from 1 species
UGCGCAGGUGGGCUUGUAGUCAGUGGUGAAAUACUGCCGCUUAACGGUAGAACUGCCAUUGAUACUGCAAGUCUUGAGUAUGGUUGAGGUAGGCGGAAUGUGUUGUGUAGCGGUGAAAUGCAUAGAUAUGACACAGAACUCCAAUUGCGAAGGCAGCUUACUAAGCCAUUACUGACGCUGAGGCACGAAAGCGUGGGGAGCGAACAGGAUUAGAUACCCUGGUAGUCC